ensembl:misc_RNA Y_RNA Y RNA
GGUUGGUCCAAAGGUAGUGAAUUAUCUCAAUUGUUCACAGUUAGUUACAGAUGGAACUCCUUGUGUACUCUUUCCCUGACUACUGCACUUGACUAAUCUUAA